GGAGAGAUGCCGGAGUGGUCGAACGGGGCGGUCUCGAAAACCGUUGUGCUCUCACGAGUACCCAGGGUUCGAAUCCCUGUCUCUCCGCCG
rnacentral:tRNA from 1 species